CUUAUCUGUUGUGUACUGUAAACAUUUAUAUAUUUUAAUUAUUUCAUGGCUAAAUGCUCGUACAGAUACUAGAUUGUACACAUGGGCUGAUAUAAUGCCAUAUUGUAAUGUGAGAUGGUAUUCUAACAUUAGAAUUCAUGUAUUAGAACAUGAAUAGUCAUUUCCCAUAAAUUUGAUGUGUUUCUCAGACUGAAGACCCCAAGAAAUAAAAAGUGCAUGCAUAAAAUAAUAGUGCUUCCUAUAGAGCUGGACGGAUUUACAGGACCAGAAUGGGAAGAAUAGUUCCUAAUUCCAGGCAAGGACUGAAUAUGAAGACAUCAAAGAAAAGACGCUAUUUGGAUAAAAGAUUUCUUGAGUGUUUCAAAUUUGAAAGGCAUAAGUGAAGUGUGUUAAAAAUAUCCACCUCUCUGAAAAAUAUCUGAAAUAGAAAUUUCCUUUUAAAGAUCUAAUGAGCCAGGAAGAUGGACUGGAUUCCUUCUCAAGGUCACUCUAACCUCUCAGGAAUCUCUGUCUUCUCUUCUCUAAGAACAGAGCCUGCCUCUUGCCUCCCCCAUCCUGACCAGGCAAAGACUCAAGUUCCUCCUGAUCCAGGGUCAAGUGAGGAAGCCGGGACUGUAACUCUCACUGUCAUUUAUUAUUCCUCAGUAUCUCUCCGUGAGAAAUAUUUGGAUGAAUGACAGGAAGCAUCGUGAACCGUGCACCUGCAAAAGAUAUUUCACAGAUUUCUCUUUGGACAUUUUGUUAUUUUUCUCUGAGCUGAUAUCCUUUCCAUUUUAUGCAGGAAAGGUCACUAAGCAUUUCAAAAGCAUAAACAUUUCACUUUCAAAACUUUUGGUACUUCAGUUGUAAUAUUGUUAUUAUGGGACUAUGAAUCUAAAAUAGGAUUAACUUCUCUGCCCAGGCCCUAUCAGCUGCAAUUUAAGAGAUGUACCUUUCAGUUCCCACCCUAGGGGCCCAAUCAGCUAGGAAGAAUUAUUCUUUAUCUUGUGCAAUACCCCCAAGUCUCUUAGGUCACAAAUCACAGAAAGGAAACGUGGUUGCAUUUUUCUG
rnacentral:lncRNA from 1 species